CUCUGAUGCAGUUGCAAAGAGUUUAUAUGCCUUGGAAUGUGCAUGGCACCCUAUGUUUACUGUCUUUCAGGGUAAUUGCCAGUUGAAGAUCGAGCAUGAAACGAACAAGCCAAUGUUUACAUCGCUUUUCACCCACGUAAAGAACUUGGAUAGGCGUGGUUGUCAUCGAUCUGCCCUAGAAGUUUGCAAACUACUACUUUCACUGGAUUCUGAUGACCCAAUGGGG
rnacentral:misc_RNA from 1 species